rnacentral:rRNA from 1 species
CCUACGGGUGGCAGCAGUGGGGAAUAUUGGACAAUGGGCGAAAGCCUGAUCCAGCCAUGCCGCGUGUGUGAAGAAGGCCUUCGGGUUGUAAAGCACUUUCAGUGGGGAAGAAAGCCUUGGGGCUAAUACCCUCGAGGAAGGACAUCACCCACAGAAGAAGCACCGGCUAACCCCGUGCCAGCAGCCGCGGUAAUACGGAGGGUGCGAGCGUUAAUCGGAAUUACUGGGCGUAAAGCGCGCGUAGGCGGUCUGAUAAGCCGGUUGUGAAAGCCCCGGGCUCAACCUGGGAACGGCAUCCGGAACUGUCAGGCUAGAGUGCAGGAGAGGAAGGUAGAAUUCCCGGUGUAGCGGUGAAAUGCGUAGAGAUCGGGAGGAAUACCAGUGGCGAAGGCGGCCUUCUGGACUGACACUGACGCUGAGGUGCGAAAGCGUGGGUAGCAAACAGGAUUAGAUACCCUAGUAGUC